rnacentral:precursor_RNA from 1 species
GGCCACUGGACAGACGCUUGGACAGGCACCUGAGGCUCUGUUAGCCUUGGCUCUGGGUCCUGCUCCUUAGAGCAGAGGCAGAGAGGCUCAGGGUCUGUCUGGGUCACUCUCUUUGAGAUUGC